CAAGCACAGUACACUGUGGGGGGGAAUUCUAGGACAUUCCAGUCAGAUAUGCCGACUGCUCUGUGUACAGUGCAAGCACAGUACACUGUAUGGAGGGGGAUUCUAGGAGAUUCCAGGCAGAUUUGCUGAUAGCUCUGUGCUCAGUGCAAGCACUGUUCACUGUGGGGGGGAAUUCUAGGAUAUUCCAGGCAGAUUUGCCGAUAGCUCUGUGCUUAGUGCAAGCACUGUAUACUUUGGGGGGGUGGGAAUCUAGGACAUUCGAGGCAGAUUUGCCUAUAUUUCUGUGCUCAGUCUAAGCACUGUGCACUGUAGGGGGGGGAAUUCUAGGACAUUCCAGGCAGAUUUGCCGAUUGCUCUGUGUACAGUGCAAGCACAGUACACUGUGUGGAGGGGGAUUCUAGGACAUUCCAGGCAGAUUGGCCGAUAGCUCUGUCCUCUGUGCAAACACUGUACACUGUGGGGGUAGGAAUUCUCGGACAUUCCUGGCAGAUUUGCUGAUAUCUCUUUGCUGAGUGCAAGCACUGUACACUGUGUGUGUGGGGGAAUUCUAGGAUAUUCCAGGCAGAUUUGCCGAUAGCUCUGUGCUCAGUGCAAGCACUGUACACUGUGGGGGGGGAUUCUAGGACAUUCCAGGCAGAUUGGCCAAUAGCUCUGUGCUCUGUGCAAACACUGUACACUGUGGGGGUAGGAAUUCUCGGA